CGGCCCCGGGGCGGCGGCGGCUGAGGGGGAGCCGAGACCCGCCGCGGCUUCAGCGGGGUCCGUUAUCGCGGCCCGGCAGGCGCUUCCCGCCCACGGGAUCGGUCGGGCUGGGAACGGCCGCUGAGGUCAUCGUAGGUCCGACCUGCGGGCGAUCGCCGCCUUGUCAGGGAGCGACGCUCCCUGGCGCUCAGUGUCACUGAGUGCCACGUCCGGGCGUUCCUCGGGCACCUCCAGGGAUGCUCUUGGACAAGCAGAAGCAGAAGGAUUUGACCUCAGUCACUGCACAGGCUACAAAGUGGCCCAGCUGGAGCUGGGGCUUCCAGGGAUCCUCCUGCUCCCUCUGUCCUCAGCACACAGAACUCCCUCAGCCAGUGUCUAGAGUUCCAUUGGUGCAGAUUUCCACAAGCUGUUAACAGAAUACCACAAUCCUUAAGUGAUUUUCUCAACCAGAACAGACAGGAGAUCUUUAAAACGUGGAAUAAAGAACCAAAACAGCCACAGGAAUUUCAUUUUACCUUUGUUUCUUCCCAUCUUUUAUCUCCAAAGUCCUCUGAAUAAACUUCAACAUCUUUUAGCAAGAAGUUGCCAAAAAUUGUACCAGUUCUCUCCUUUGAAGGAAUAUGGGGGGAUAAAACCACCCAGAAAAAAAAACCAGGAAAUCUGUUUUUUUGCAUCCUCAGAUUAUCAGAGUCCCUUGUUUCCU